rnacentral:rRNA from 1 species
AAGAGAGAGACAUGCGCGCAUAUCAAUAAGCGGAGGAAAAGAAACUAACAAGGAUUCCCUUAGUAACGGCGAGUGAAGCGGGAAGAGCUCAAAUUUGAGAUCUUCAAGGUUCUACCUUGACGAAUUGUAGUUUAUAGAAGUGUUUUCUGUUAGUGGAGUGGCAAAAGUUCUUUGGAAUAGGACAUCAUAGAGGGUGAGAAUCCCGUAUUUGGUCAUUCCUCCUAGCGUUGUGAUACACUUUCAACGAGUCGGAUUGUUUGGGAAUGCAGUCCAAAAUGGGUGGUAAAUUUCAUCUAAAGCUAAAUAUUGGCGAGAGACCGAUAGCGAACAAGUACCGUGAGGGAAAGAUGAAAAGAACUUCGAAAAGAGAGUUAAACAGUACGUGAAAUUGUCAAAAGGGAAGCGUUUGACACCAGUGUUGUUUCUCCGAAAAUCAAUUACGAAUGUUUUAUUUUUGAGGAGUUAUGACUUCAUCGGCUUGCUCCUUUCUUUAUGAAACUUUCUUAAUGCACUUUUCGGUUAACAAGUCAACAUCAAUUUCUUUUGUUGUAAAAGGGUAUGAGGAAGGUGGCUUUCUUUUCGGAGAAAGUGUUUAUAGCCUUGUACCUCUGCAAUCGGAGAGAUUGAGGUCUGCAGCGUAGAUCCUUCGGGGUUAGAUACAUUAGAUGCUAAGUUAUAGUUUUUCAUAGACAACUUGUUGACUAUGAUUAGUCAUGUAGCUUACUCGUUGACGCUAUUUUACCUACGCUUAGGAUGUUGAUAGUCACAGCGUGUAC